CAGCCGCCACGGGAAUACGAAGGGUGCAAGCGUUAAUCGGAAUUACUGGGCGUAAAGCGUGCGUAGGCGGUGAGUUAAGUCUGCUGUGAAAUCCCCGGGCUCAACCUGGGAAUGGCAGUGGAUACUGGCUCGCUAGAGUGUGUCAGAGGAUGGUGGAAUUCCCGGUGUAGCGGUGAAAUGCGUAGAAAUCGGGAGGAACAUCAGUGGCGAAGGCGGCCAUCUGGGACAACACUGACGCUGAGGCACGAAAGCGUGGGGAGCAAACAGGAUUAGAUACCCCCGUAGUCCCUGUCUCUUAUAC
rnacentral:rRNA from 1 species